UGGGGAAUAUUGGACAAUGGGGGCAACCCUGAUCCAGCGACGCCGCGUGUGUGAAGAAGGCCUGCGGGUUGUAAAGCACUUUUAGUGGGGACGAAUAGUCUCGGGCGAAUAUCCCGGGAUCAUGACUUAACCCAAAGAAAAAGCACCGGCUAACUCUGUGCCAGCAGCCGCGGUAAUACAGAGGGUGCGAGCGUUAAUCGGAAUUACUGGGCGUAAAGCGCGCGUAGGUGGUUUUGCAAGUCGAGUGUGAAAGCCCCGGGCUCAACCUGGGAACUGCAUUCGAGACUGCAUAACUCGAGUAUGGGAGAGGGCAGUGGAAUUUCCGGUGUAGCGGUGAAAUGCGUAGAUAUCGGAAGGAACAUCAGUGGCGAAAGCGACUGCCUGGCCCAAUACUGACACUCAUGUGCGAAAGCGUGGGGAGCAAACAGG
rnacentral:rRNA from 1 species